rnacentral:rRNA from 1 species
GAUCAUGGCUCAGGAUGAACGCUAGCUACGGGCUUAACACAUGCAAGUCGAGGGGCAGCAUGUUGGUUGCUUGCAACCGAUGAUGGCGACCGGCGCACGGGUGAGUAACGCGUAUCCAACCUACCCUUGUCCAUCGGAUAACCCGUCGAAAGGCGGCCUAACACGAUAUGCGGUUCACCGCAGGCAUCUAACGUGAACGAAAUGUGAAGGAGAAGGAUGGGGAUGUGU